AAUACUGGAUACUACAUUCUCUCGCAUGGGGGUGUGUGGAAAGGGUUUUACUGGGUUUGGAUGGGCUCACGGCCUAUCAGCUUGUUGGUGGGGGAAUGGCCUACCAAGGCGACGACGGGCAGCCGGCCUGAGAGGGCGACCGGCCACACUGGGACUGACACACGGCCCACACUCCUACGGGAGGCAGCAGUGGGGAAUAUUGCACAAUGGGCGAAAGCCUGAUGCAGCGACGCCGCGGGAGGGAUGACGGCCUUCGGGUUGUAAACCUCUUUCAGCACGGAAGAAGCGAAAGUGACGGUACGUGCAAAAGAAGCGCCGGCUAACUACGUGCCAGCAGCCGCGGUAAUACGUAGGGCGCAAGCGUUGUCCGGAAUUAUUGGGCGUAAAGAGCUCGUAGGCGGUUUGGCGCGUCUGCUGUGAAAGCCCGGGGCUUAACCCCGGGGUGUGCAGUGGGUACGGACAGACUAGAGUGCAGUAGGGGAGACUGGAAUUCCUGGUGUAUCGGUGAAAUGCACAUAUAUCAGGAGGAACACCGAUGGCGAAGGCAGGUCUCUGGGCUGUUACUGACGCUGAGGAGCGAAAGCAUGGCGAGCGAACAGGAUUAGAUACCCUGGUAGUCCAUGCCGUAAACGUUGCGCACUAGGUGUGACGGACAUUCCACGUCUUCCGCGCCGUAGCUAACGCAUUAACUGCCCCGCCUGGGGAGUACGGCCGCAAGGCUAAACUCGAAGGAAUUGACGGCCGCCCGCACAAGCGGCGGAGCAUGCGGAUUAAUUCGAUGCAACACGAACAACCUUACCAAUGCUUGACACACACCAGACCGAGCACAGAGAUGCGUUUUCCUCUUUGAGGUUGAUGUACAGGUGAUGCAUGAUUGUCGUCAGCUCGUGUCGUGGAGAUGGUUGGGUUAACGUCCCGCAACGAGCGCAACCCU
rnacentral:rRNA from 1 species